rnacentral:lncRNA from 1 species
GAAAGCGAUUGCUCCGCCCCUGGAAUGGAUUGGUGGGUAUAAAAGGAGUCUGCAAGUGUAGUUAGAUGAAAGAGAUUGGAAGGAACGGGAGAAAAGGAUGGGAGCCGCGUCGUCAAGUUCUUCCAAUGACUCCAUGGUGUCCACUCCUACAAAUGUCGGUGUCGAGAACCACAUGAACCCAGUCUCCUCGUUCCACGUGGUUCGCUUCAGCCAACCAAAUAGUAUAGCCGUCAACAUGGACGGUUCGUCUGAAGAAAUUAUUAGAUAA